UGGCAGUGGUGACUGUCUUAGGAUACCUUUGGAGUAACUGAAAUAAUAAUUGUCUCUUUCUGAGCCAU